UCCUGUAUGUAUUUUCUUUCAGAACAUGCAGCCCUGCCACUAACAUUUACUCUCGAUCGAUUGAGUUCAUUUCAGACUGCUAUUACGAUUUAAUCAAAACAGUAAUCGAUUUGUAUCAUUAUUUGGAACAAACGAUGCGAUCCGGUUCAUCCGGUCAGAGAGAAACACAAUUAUACAGGAUAGGUCAGAUUGAUUCAGGAGUGAAUAUAAACUUUUCAACAAAAAAAGAAGAUACAGAUAAGGAAAAAGGCACAAAAAGUCUUAAUUCUAGAUCCAUCACGUUUAGGACAAUAUCUGAAACAAACGAGCUUAAGUACGAAGCGACAAGCUCUAAAAAUACUAGCAUAGCCCUAAACCUAGAAAUAUCAGAAC